UACGGGGGGGGCAAGCGUUGUUCGGAAUUACUGGGCGUAAAGCGUGCGCAGGCGGUGCUGUAAGACCGAUGUGAAAUCCCCGGGCUUAACCUGGGAACUGCAUUUGUGACUGCAUAGCUAGAGUACGGUAGAGGGGGAUGGAAUUCCGCGUGUAGCAGUGAAAUGCGUAGAUAUGCGGAGGAACACCGAUGGCGAAGGCAAUCCCCUGGACCUGUACUGACGCUCAUGCACGAAAGCGUGGGGAGCAAACAGG
rnacentral:rRNA from 1 species